AUAAGUUAGGAUUAAAUUUCUGUUAUUUUAAGUAUAUUUGUUGACGAAACAUUUGGACCCUUUCAAUACAUAAUUCAAUCAAUUCUUACAAUUGGAAAGAUUCUCUCCUCUACUGGUGUUUCAGACUUUGUAACGCUAUGGCUGGCUGCCAAUUGAUGCCGUAAUUGAUGGCGACUACGACUUACUGCCAUAUUAUCUGUUGAGUCACAAAAAGAAAAUCCAUUUCAAAGGCAUAAAUUUCACUUACAAGUCUUGCACAGAUUUUAUUGCUCUCUUUCCAACCUUGAAGCUGUGGUAUUUUAGUGAGUUGUAUAAGCAACAUUCCACCCGUCAUAGGCAUGUAAAAUUACAUUCUUCCAAUCAUGCACACAUUACGUAUAGCAAUUGUACAGGCCAUUCUUACUGGAAUCAUCACAACGUAGUCAUCACAGAAAUAAAUUGAAAAUUUUAGGGAUACUACUCGUUGAAAGAGGAAUUUCCUUAUGGUUCACACUGAAAAUGACUGUUAGUACUCCAUGGGAUGACAUAAUGCUAAUCGCUUUUCUCUA